AUACGGAGGGUGCAAGCGUUAUUCGGAAUCAUUGGGUGUAAAGCGCGUGUAGGCGGCCGGGCAAGUCAGAUGUGAAAGCUCCGGGCUUAACUCGGAAAGUGCAUUUGAAACUGCUCGGCUUGAGUCCGGGAGAGGAAGGUGGAAUUCCCAGUGUAGAGGUGAAAUUCGUAGAUAUUGGGAGGAACACCGGUGGCGAAGGCGACCUUCUGGACCGAGACUGACGCUGAGACGCGAAAGCGUGGGGAGCAAACAGGAUUAGAUACCCUGGUAGUCCACGCCGUAAACGAUGUGCACUAGGUGUAGGGGGUAUUGACCCCCCCUGUGCCGUAGCUAACGCAUUAAGUGCACCACCUGGGGACUACGGCCGCAAGGCUAAA
rnacentral:rRNA from 1 species